GUCUUCGAGUCGUUGAUUUCACACUGCCGAGAAAAGCCUCUAGAUAGAAAAUAGGUGCCCGUACCGCAAACCGACACAGGUAGUCAAGAUGAGAAUUCUAAGGUGAGCGAGCGAACUCUCGUUAAGGAACUCGGCAAAAUGACCCCGUAACUUCGGGAGAAGGGGUGCUCUUUAGGGUUAACGCCCAGAAGAGCCGCAGUGAAUAGGCCCAAGCGACUGUUUAUCAAAAACACAGGUCUCUGCUAAACCGUAAGGUGAUGUAUAGGGGCUGACGCCUGCCCGGUGCUGGAAGGUUAAGAGGAGUGGUUAGCUUCUGCGAAGCUACGAAUCGAAGCCCCAGUAAACGGCGGCCGUAACUAUAACGGUCCUAAGGUAGCGAAAUUCCUUGUCGGGUAAGUUCCGACCCGCACGAAAGGCGUAACGAUUUGGGCACUGUCUCAACGAGAGACUCGGUGAAAUCAUAGUACCUGUGAAGAUGCAGGUUACCCGCGACAGGACGGAAAGACCCCGUGGAGCUUUACUGUAGCCUGAUAUUGAAAUUCGGCACAGCUUGUACAGGAUAGGUAGGAGCCUUUGAAACGUGAGCGCUAGCUUACGUGG
rnacentral:rRNA from 1 species